UACGUAGGGCGCAAGCGUUGUCCGGAAUUAUUGGGCGUAAAGAGCUCGUAGGCGGCCUGUCGCGUCCGCUGUGAAAUCCCGGGGCUUAACCCCGGGCGUGCAGUGGAUACGGGCUGGCUAGAGGCAGGCAGGGGAGAACGGAAUUCCCGGUGUAGCGGUGAAAUGCGCAGAUAUCGGGAGGAACACCGGUGGCGAAGGCGGUUCUCUGGUCCAUUACUGACGCUGAGGUGCGAAAGCGUGGGGAGCAAACAGG
rnacentral:rRNA from 1 species